UACGUAGGGUGCAGGCGUUAAUCGGAAUUACUGGGCGUAAAGCGUGCGCAGGCGGUUGGCAAAGUCAGCUGUGAAAGCCCCGGGCUCAACCUGGGAAUGGCGGUUGAAACUAGUCGACUCGAAUCUGGCAGAGGGGGGUGGAAUUCCACGUGUAGCAGUGAAAUGCGUAGAGAUGUGGAGGAACACCGAUGGCGAAGGCAGCCCCCUGGGCUGAGAUUGACGCUCAGGCACGAAAGCGUGGGGAGCAAACAGG
rnacentral:rRNA from 1 species